rnacentral:rRNA from 1 species
AUGAAACACUCCUACGGGAGGCAGCAGUGGGGAAUUUUGCACAAUGGGGGGAACCCUGAUGCAGCAACGCCGCGUGAGUGAAGAAGGCAUUCGUGUCGUAAAACUCUGUAGUAGGGGAAGAAAGAAAUGACAGUACCCUAAAAGAAAGCCCCGGCUAACUACGUGCCAGCAGCCGCGGUAAUACGUAGGGGGCAAGCGUUAUCCGGAAUAACUGGGCGUAAAGGGUGCGCAGGUGGUUUAACAAGUUAGUGGUGAAAGGCAUAGGCUCAACCAAUGUAAGCCAUUAAAACUGUUUAACUUGAGUGCAGGAGAGGAAAGUGGAAUUCCUAGUGUAGCGGUGAAAUGCGUAGAUAUUAGGAGGAAUACCAGUGGCGAAGGCGACUUUCUGGACUGUAACUGACACUGAGGCACGAAAGCGUGGGGAGCAAACAGGAUUAGAUACCCGGGUAGUCCGAAGUUC